rnacentral:rRNA from 1 species
AGUAGCGGCGAGCGAACGGGGACUAGCCCUUAAGUGGCUUUGAGAUUAGCGGAACGCUCUGGAAAGUGCGGCCAUAGUGGGUGAUAGCCCUGUACGCGAAAAUCUCUUAGUCAUGAAAUCGAGUAGGACGGAGCACGAGAAACUUUGUCUGAAUAUGGGGGGACCAUCCUCCAAGGCUAAAUACUACUUACCGACCGAUAGUGAACCAGUACCGUGAGGGAAAGGUGAAA